AAAGUUUUUUUCCACUAUGGCAAUCAAAACCAACAUCACCAGGACUUCUAGUCUGGAAGGGUAUGGAUCCCCCUGGGUGUUCAGCAUAAAAGACACAGCAACAGAAGGCAUCUCACUACAACGACCUUAGAGGUGGCAUAAACUGAAAUAUAAAAGCUGGGUCUAUCAAGCAACUAAAAUCUGAUUUGAUGGUUAAAAGCUGGAAAAAUCCAAGAAUGAAUGAAAGAGCUUGUAGAUAGGCCCAGACAGUGGGCAGCAUGGCUCUUCUCCAGCCUGGGACACAGCUCAUCACUCAGGGUGGAUCCUGGAGAGAAGCUGCCUGAGUUCAGCCUUUGCCUAUCCCAGUACUCACUGUGUGCACCCAGAGGAGCUUCUGUGUAUCUGUGAGACCCUGUUUCCUCAUCUGCAAUACCAGGACUCAUAUCCUAGCGGGGCUCUGAAAACUAGAUCAGCUAAUGUAAGGCUUGGCCAUGUAUUUUCUCAAGAAUCGUUGCUGUGAAAGAGCCAGUGAAGUCACAGAGGGUAAAGUCAAUGGUCAACCUUCCUGAUUAAUGAAUAUUGAUUGAGCAUUCACCAUUUAAUAGUUAGCUCCUUCUAAGUCUAAUCGUUUUUAGUUUCUCCUGACACCUGUCAUGUAAGAGGCUCUAUAUGUGAGGAUAGACUUAGGGGGCAGUUGGUUCCUCUUUUUGGACACAGAACAGGAAGAAUAAAGAGAUCUCAGAAGGAAAAGGAAAGUGGGAGGAGGCUGGGUCUGUGGGUUCCCCGGUGGAUCACGCUGAAAGAAUACCUGGCAGACACUUAAUCUCUGCGGCAAAUGCAUGAAAGUAGAAGGAUGAAGCCAACUUUCCAAAAACUUUUAUGAAAUUACUUCAGUGAGAAAACCUAUUAAAUAAAUUACAGCCAUUCUAUAAAAAUAGAAUUCUAUGUUACUUCUAUAUAUAUACUUCUACUAUAUAUACUUGUACUAUAUUACAGUAGAAAUCAGUCAAUCCAAUCCCCUAUUGGGCAGAAGGGAAACUUGCCUCGGACCACACUGUCGGCUGGGGUCCUUAGCACGGUACUAGGUCUCCACCUCCAUGCACUACCCUGGUUCAGAGCUGGUGCUAUGGGUUGAAUUGUGUCCCUGCAAAAAUAGGCUGAAGUUCCAACCCCAGUACCUCAGAAAGGGACUUUGCUUGGAAAUAGGGUCUUUAGAGAGGUAAUCGAGUUAAAAUAAGGUCAUUAGAGUGGGCCUUAUCUGAUGUGAGGGGAAUUCUUAUAAAAUGGGGAAAUGCAGACACACACAUAUGCAGGAGGAAGGCACUAUGAAGAAACAAAGAGAGAAGACGGCUAUCCAAGGAGAGAGGCCUGGAACAAAUCCUUGCCUCACGGUUCUCAGAAGGAAACAACCUUGACAACACAUUACUUUUGGAUUUCUGGCCUCCAGAACUGUGAGACAAUGCAUUUUGGCUGUUGUAAGCCACCUAGGUUGUGAUACUUCCUUACAGCAGCCCUAGGAAAUGAAUACAGCUGGGGACCAGGCUUUUAGUCAAAAGAUCAGGGAGGAAGUCUGGUGUCUUGGGAGAAAUUUCUAGAUUAUAGGAGUCACUGAAUAUCGUAACUUUGAAAAAUCCAUUUUGAAUCUCACCAGAAACACAAAAGCCUGUAGAAAUCCAAUUAUACAAAUUUACAGUCUAGAAAAGGAAAAAAAAUGAAAUUACUCUUCAUGCACAUUUAAGCAGAGUUUAGGACUGGAAAAUAAACAAGGCUUUGGUAACUGGGGAGUGCAGUGCUAACAACACAGUUGCAGGUAUGUGGCUGUGUGGGUUUGAGCUUGGCUCUGCCUUUUACCAACUCCGUGACCUUCAGUCACUGCCCCCACUGUCUUCAGCUUUCUCCAAAAAGAGUGUUGUGUGUCCUCUUGGAGGCCAUACCCUGGGGUGCUCAGCACAGGGUUUCACACACAGUGACUAUUAACUGGAUUUUAGCUCCUAUUAUAAUUACUAAUAGCAGAUAAUUGCCUUAUUAAAAAAAUUAAAGGCAAGCCCCC
rnacentral:lncRNA from 1 species